rnacentral:rRNA from 1 species
CGCCAGACUCCUACGGGAGGCAGCAGUGGGGAAUAUUGGGCAAUGGGCGCAAGCCUGACCCAGCAAUGCCGCGUGAAGGAAGAAGGCCUUCGGGUUGUAAACUUCUUUUAUCAGGGACGAAGGAUGUGACGGUACCUGAUGAAUAAGCUCCGGCUAACUACGUGCCAGCAGCCGCGGUAAUACGUAGGGAGCAAGCGUUAUCUGGAUUUACUGGGUGUAAAGGGCGCGUAGGCGGGAUGGCAAGUCAGAUGUGAAAACCAUGGGCUCAACCUGUGGCCUGCAUUUGAAACUGUUUUUCUUGAGUACUGGAGAGGCAGACGGAAUUUCUAGUGUAGCGGUGAAAUGCGUAGAUAUUAGGAGGAACACCAGUGGCGAAGGCGGUCUGCUGGACAGCAACUGACGCUGAGGCGCGAAAGCGUGGGGAGCAAACAGGAUUAGAUACCCUUGUA